rnacentral:rRNA from 1 species
GAUCCUGGCUUAGGAUGAACGCUAGCGACAGGCUUAACACAUGCAAGUCGAGGGGCAGCAUAGAAGUAGCAAUACUUGGUGGCGACCGGCGCACGGGUGAGUAACGCGUAUGCAACCUACCUAUCGAGAGGGGAAUAACCCGGCGAAAGUCGGACUAAUACCGCAUAAAACAGGGGCACCGCAUGGUGAUAUUUGUUAAAGAAAUUCGCUGAUAGAUGGGCAUGCGUUCCAUUAGGUAGUUGGUGAGGUAACGGCUCACCAAGCCGACGAUGGAUAGGGGAACUGAGAGGUUGGUCCCCCACACUGGUACUGAGACACGGACCAGACUCCUACGGGAGGCAGCAGUGAGGAAUAUUGGUCAAUGGGCGGGAGCCUGAACCAGCCAAGUCGCCGUGAAGGAAGAAGGAUCUAUGGUUCGUAAACUUCUUUUGCAGGGGAAUAAAGUGCAGGACGUGUCCUGUUUUGUAUGUACCCUGAGAAUAAGGAUCGGCUAACUCCGUGCCAGCCGCCGC